GCUAGAAGAUAUAUUCCAAAAGAAUUCAAAUAGGUUGAAGCUUUUGGGGGGCCAAUAUUCUUGUAGAUAAUAAAGGUUGCAUUAAACUUGCAGAUUUUAGGGCCUCCAAACAAGUUGAGCUGGCUGCAGAGGCUUGGAUUGAUGUUGAAAGAGUUCAUACAAUUACAUUAGGAGCCAAGAAGAACUAGUGUCCUGAUGAUCUAUCCUUUUUUUCCGGUUUUAAAUCAUGUUGUAGUUUUACUUCAUUUUCAUCUUCAAUUGUAUUCCUUUUAGAGAAGCGUAAUAUUUCAAUUUGCAUCAUCUAAUCUUUGGGAGCAUUGUGCUUCCAUCAGGUCGAGUAGGUUCAACAGUUAUGGACCUCACUACACCACACAAAUACAAGAUACUGAGACCUGGAAGAAGCUUGCAAAAGAAACUCUGUAUUCAACAGGAUCCAGUUGCUGCAUCAUGCUCUAGGUGUAGAGAAUUGUGGUGUUCUUCUCUUCGAUAAAUUUGAGAUACUGGGUUGUGGUGAUUGUGGUGCUACUGCGGUUGUCUAAUUUGAGGUUACAAUGAAGCUUCUUUUAGAUAGGGGAAAAUUCAUGCAAGUGCUUUGUUGCGGAGGGGAAUUUGGACCUUAAAUGAAAAUUUUUGUACCGAUUUCUUGUUGGUUCUUGAGGAGAAUUAUAAA